UACAGAGGGUGCGAGCGUUAAUCGGAAUUACUGGGCGUAAAGGGCGUGUAGGCGGAUAUAUAAGUUAGACGUGAAAGUCCUGGGCUUAACCGAGGGAUUGCGUAUGAUACUGUAUGUCUAGAGUGGAAUAGAGGGUAGUGGAAUUUCCGGUGUAGCGGUGAAAUGCGUAGAUAUCGGAAGGAACACCAGUGGCGAAGGCGGCUACCUAGAUUCACACUGACGCUGAGGCGCGAAAGCGUGGGGAGCGAACAGG
rnacentral:rRNA from 1 species